rnacentral:rRNA from 1 species
AGUGAACGCUGGCGGUAGGCCUAACACAUGCAAGUCGAACGGCAGCACAGUAAGAGCUUGCUCUUACGGGUGGCGAGUGGCGGACGGGUGAGGAAUACAUCGGAAUCUACUUUUUCGUGGGGGAUAACGUAGGGAAACUUACGCUAAUACCGCAUACGACCUACGGGUGAAAGCAGGGGAUCUUCGGACCUUGCGCGAUUGAAUGAGCCGAUGUCGGAUUAGCUAGUUGGCGGGGUAAAGGCCCACCAAGGCGACGAUCCGUAGCUGGUCUGAGAGGAUGAUCAGCCACACUGGAACUGAGACACGGUCCAGACUCCUACAGGAGGCAGCAGUGGGGAAUAUUGGACAAUGGGCGCAAGCCUGAUCCAGCCAUACCGCGUGGGUGAAGAAGGCCUUCGGGUUGUAAAGCCCUUUUGUUGGGAAAGAAAAGCAGCAGGUUAAUACCCCGCUGCUCUGACGGUACCCAAAGAAUAAGCACCGGCUAACUUCGUG